UACGUAGGCGGAAGAUUAAGUCAGUGGUGAAAUCCUGCAGCUUAACUGUAGAACUGUCAUUGAUACUGGUUUUCUUGAAUUUAGUUGAGGUAGGCGGAAUGUGUAAUGUAGCGGUGAAAUGCUUAGAUAUUACACAGAACACCGAUUGCGAAGGCAGCUUACUAAACAAUGAUUGACGCUGAGGUACGAAAGCGUGGGGAGCGAACAGGAUUAGAUACCCUGGUAGUCC
rnacentral:rRNA from 1 species